UCCAGACUCCUACGGGAGGCAGCAGUGGGGAAUAUUGCACAAUGGGGGAAACCCUGAUGCAGCGACGCCGCGUGAGUGAAGAAGUAUUUCGGUAUGUAAAGCUCUAUCAGCAGGGAAGAAAAUGACGGUACCUGACUAAGAAGCUCCGGCUAACUACGUGCCAGCAGCCGCGGUAAUACGUAGGGAGCAAGCGUUGUCCGGAAUUACUGGGCGUAAAGGGCGCGUAGGUGGGCGCUUAAGUCAGGUGUGAAAACUCCGGGCUCAACCUGGAGACUGCACUUGAAACUGGGUGUCUUGAGGGCAGGAGAGGAAAGUGGAAUUCCUAGUGUAGCGGUGAAAUGCGUAGAUAUUAGGAGGAACACCAGUGGCGAAGGCGGCCUGCUGGACGAUGACUGACGCUGAGGCUCGAAAGCGUGGGGAGCAAACAGGAUUAGAUACCCGGGUAGA
rnacentral:rRNA from 1 species